CGGAUGAAGAGAGCUUGCUCUCUGAUUCAGCGGCGGACGGGUGAGUAAUGCCUAGGAAUCUGCCUGAUAGUGGGGGACAACGUUUCGAAAGGAACGCUAAUACCGCAUACGUCCUACGGGAGAAAGCAGGGGACCUUCGGGCCUUGCGCUAUCAGAUGAGCCUAGGUCGGAUUAGCUAGUUGGUGAGGUAAUGGCUCACCAAGGCGACGAUCCGUAACUGGUCUGAGAGGAUGAUCAGUCACACUGGAACUGAGACACGGUCCAGACUCCUACGGGAGGCAGCAGUGGGGAAUAUUGGACAAUGGGCGAAAGCCUGAUCCAGCCAUGCCGCGUGUGUGAAGAAGGUCUUCGGAUUGUAAAGCACUUUAAGUUGGGAGGAAGGGCAUUAACCUAAUACGUUAGUGUUUUGACGUUACCGACAGAAUAAGCACCGGCUAACUUCGUGCCAGCAGCCGCGGUAAUACGAAGGGUGCAAGCGUUAAUCGGAAUUACUGGGCGUAAAGCGCGCGUAGGUGGUUUGUUAAGUUGAAUGUGAAAGCCCCGGGCUCAACCUGGGAACUGCAUCCAAAACUGGCAAGCUAGAGUAUGGCAGAGGGUGGUGGAAUUUCCUGUGUAGCGGUGAAAUGCGUAGAUAUAGGAAGGAACACCAGUGGCGAAGGCGACCACCUGGGCUAAUACUGACACUGAGGUGCGAAAGCGUGGGGAGCAAACAGGAUUAGAUACCCUGGUAGUCCACGCCGUAAACGAUGUCGACUAGCCGUUGGGAUCCUUGAGAUCUUAGUGGCGCAGCUAACGCAUUA
rnacentral:rRNA from 1 species